rnacentral:rRNA from 1 species
UACGUAGGGGGCAAGCGUUGUCCGGAUUUAUUGGGCGUAAAGAGCGUGUAGGCGGUCAGGUAGGUCCGUUGUGAAAACUCGAGGCUCAACCUCGAGACGUCGGCGGAAACCCUCUGGCUAGAGUCCGGAAGAGGAGAGUGGAAUUCCUGGUGUAGCGGUGAAAUGCGCAGAUAUCAGGAAGAACACCCGUGGCGAAGGCGGCUCUCUGGGACGGUACUGACGCUGAGACGCGAAAGCGUGGGGAGCAAACAGG